rnacentral:misc_RNA from 1 species
UGCCUGAUUCAAGCUCAGAGAUUUUGUUGGAUCAGGAAGCUUUACAUUGUUUGACUCACACCAAUUUGCAAUAAGUGCCUUAACGGUGUAAUUAGGAAUGAGAGUUGUGUGCCCCAGCAUUUGCCUUGUCUUAGGACACACAGUAAGACCGAGAUCAAUCCAUUCCCUUAUAAAAGCUCGCUCAUAAGUUUGUCCAGUAGCAACAAUUACAGGGUCGGUCAUCAACUCGAGUGAGAGGGGGCAACAAAAAUCAGGAG